rnacentral:rRNA from 1 species
CCUACGGGAGGCAGCAGCUAAGAAUCUUGCGCAAUGGGCGAAAGCCUGACGCAGCAACGCCGCGUGGGGGACGAAGGCCCUCGGGUCGUAAACCCCUUUUGCGAAGGAAGAAGUUCUGACGGUACUUCGCGAAUAAGACACGGCUAACUACGUGCCAGCAGCCGCGGUAAUACGUAGGUGUCGAACGUUGUCCGGAUUUAUUGGGCGUAAAGCGCCCGCAGGCGGCUCUGCAAGUUCCAAGUGAAAUCUCCCGGCUCAACUGGGAGGGGUCUUGGAAAACUGCAGGGCUUGAGGCAUGGAGAGGGAUGCGGAAUUCCAGGUGUAGCGGUGGAAUGCGUAGAUAUCUGGAGGAACACCAGUGGCGAAGGCGGCAUCCUGGCCAUGUCCUGACGCUGAGGGGCGAAAGCGUGGGGAGCAAACCGGAUUAGAUACCCCGGUAG